AUUCAGCCGGAGAAAAUGAAACGGCAAUAAAAAACCGGCACAUGGCCCUCUGGAAGUAAAAGUAGAAAAGAACAAGGAUCCUAUACCUUUUAUGUGACAUCUCAUCGAACCAUCUACUUUACCAGCUCAGUGUGGGCAACAUAAACUUGUUCAAAUAUGCCCAUGUUUUUACCCACAUUUUAUGCCAAUGCAACUCGGCUCUUUUCCUCAUGACUGGUCGCUCGAUUUCAACUGGAACCAGUGACUUGGCGGGCCCCGCAGCAUUUGGAGAAAACAACAUUUUUGUUAUUUGACUCUUUCUUCUUAUUAUUAUUAUUAUUUUUUUAGGUUAUCUUACGCACGACUUUAUUAUAAAGGAGAUGACUGAAAUCGACUGGAACGAACCAGCAUAACGGCUGAACGCGGUUACGCUGACGUGCAAAAUAGGCAAACACGCGAAUCGAGGUUUGCGGUGUCUCAUCGAAAUCCACAUCAAUACAUUUAGGAAAGCUGUUGAUGUCGGUCGUUGGAUGGCAGACGCCGCUAGAGCGAAUAGUUGGCAGAAAUGUUAAUUGCGAAUCGCGCACCAAGAGAAAGUUCUGUGCAAACAUGGAAUUUUCAUUCCUGUCGCUAUAAAUAUUAGUAAAAUACAAUUUCAUGUUGGCUGUGCUUUAUUUCCUCCUCUCGGAUGAACGGUCCUUUUGUUCCUUAUAAAACGCACGUCCGAAAAAUCACGUUUAAUGGCCUAAAGAAAGUUGAAGAUAAAUGGAAAAGAUCGAAAGCGAAGUGAAAGCUCUGCGCAUUUUUGAUGCCUUUUGCACAUAGUAAUCAAUUGAUGAGGGAGGCGUGAUGGCGGGAAUUUGAAAAAAAAAAACGAUGAUGCGGAACCAGUUAAACGGUGCAUGAAAUUGAAAACAAUUGCGCUUUGAACGACAGGAUGGUUUCUGUGUAUUCUUUUUUUUUUUUGCGGUUUUUUUGAACAAAUCACUGAUAUUCGUGGGCUUUCUCCAUGUUUUACAUCUCUUUGCAGUCUCUUUCUCUUCCAAAUUCCAUAUGUGCCAUUAAUAGCGCACUCUGGUAUUGUAACAAAUAUAAAAAAAAACAAUAUUCGUUCCAAUGAAGAGUAGAAUCGAGCGCUAUUUCGACUAUCGAGUGGAAAUCUCGAGCAGUGGAUCCUGCAGAGCCUUCCAACCCGUUCCGUCGUGGAUGUACACACAAUGGACACAGAAGAAUUCUUCGGAUACAAAGGACUUUCAAAACUCGAUGACGUAGCGAGGUGUGUUAAAACCGUAUCUCACACCGUUGUACAACAACAACAACAACAAC